UAAAUACAAUAUAUUAAAAAUGAUAUAAUAGUAGUGUCAAUGGCACAUCGUACUUUUGGGAGUAACUUAAUUUUUUUAUAAAUAGGAUAAAAAAAUUGUGAUUCUGGCUGAUUCUCGAAUUAACUCUUUUACUACUCUUAUUUCUCGAUUUAUAUAUGUGACAACGCUAUCCAUACUCAGUUAUAUUAAUCAAAGAAAAGCGGAGAUUAUUAAUGUCAAAAUAUAUCCUAAACAUCAAAAAGAAGCCAGGACAGAGGUUCAUAUAUUGACACUAUACUACUUUAGGUUGACACUUAUGGUGUUUCUAUCCAACCUGUCAUAGGUAACCGUAAGAAACUGAUCUGUCUUUGAAAUUAUAUAUCCAAUCAUACACGGAGCAGACUUGCAUCUAAUAUUUCAAUCAGUUAUACAUUCAUAUUGACGUUUAUAUUAUCCGUUGUGACCAAUCAUGAAUACUAAGAAAUUAAAGAAAAGAAGAUCAUUUUUGGUAAAAAUUUAAAAAAAAAUAACAGUAAAAAUUUCUUAUCAGAAAUCACAUAGAAU